GUCCAGACUCCUACGGGAGGCAGCAGUGGGGAAUAUUGCACAAUGGGGGAAACCCUGAUGCAGCGACGCCGCGUGAAGGAAGAAGUAUUUCGGUAUGUAAACUUCUAUCAACAGGGAAGAAAAUGACGGUACCUGAAGAAGAAGCCCCGGCUAACUACGUGCCAGCAGCCGCGGUAAUACGUAGGGGGCAAGCGUUAUCCGGAUUUACUGGGUGUAAAGGGGGCGCAGACGGCAGCGCAAGCCAGGAGUGAAAGCCCGGGGCCCAACCCCGGGACUGCUCUUGGAACUGCGCGGCUGGAGUGCAGGAGGGGCGGGCGGAAUUCCUGGUGUAGCGGUGAAAUGCGUAGAUAUCAGGAGGAACACCGGUGGCGAAGGCGGCCUGCUGGACUGCGACUGACGUUGAGGCCCGAAAGCGUGGGGAGCAAACAGGAUUAGAUACCCGAGUA
rnacentral:rRNA from 1 species